GUGAAUCAUCAAAUUUUUGAACGCAAAUUGCACUCUCCUCGAAGAGUAUGCCUGUUUGAGUGUCAGCCUAUUAAAAAUCGACAUCGUUUCUGUUUCGCGGUGGCAUUCGUCAGAAAGUGGGUCAUCUUAAAUCUUUGUGUUUUAAGCGACUGAAAGUUUUCUUUUUGGUUCCAUUAACGUUUCUAAGAUUUAUUUCUUGACACGUUUAAGGUAUCGUUUUUUAGUAGACGUUACCAUCAUAUCGAAUCGCUCCCCUAAUCUUUCAUUAACUGACCUCU
rnacentral:misc_RNA from 1 species